UGCGUAGGUGGUUUCUUAAGUCAGAGGUGAAAGGCUACGGCUCAACCGUAGUAAGCCUUUGAAACUGGGAAACUUGAGUGCAGGAGAGGAGAGUGGAAUUCCUAGUGUAGCGGUGAAAUGCGUAGAUAUUAGGGGGAACACCAGUUGCGAAGGCGGCUCUCUGGACUGUAACUGACACUGAGGCACGAAAGCGUGGGGAGCAAACA
rnacentral:rRNA from 1 species